UCCAGACUCCUACGGGAGGCAGCAGUGGGGAAUAUUGCACAAUGGGGGGAACCCUGAUGCAGCGACGCCGCGUGAGUGAAGAAGUAUUUCGGUAUGUAAAGCUCUGUCAGCAGGGAAGAAGAAAGACGGUACCUGACCAAGAAGCCCCGGCUAACUACGUGCCAGCAGCCGCGGUAAUACGUAGGGGGCAAGCGUUAUCCGGAUUUACUGGGUGUAAAGGGAGCGUAGACGGCAGGGCAAGUCUGGAGUGAAAGGCAGGGGCCCAACCCCUGGACUGCUCUGGAAACUGUCCGGCUGGAGUGCAGGAGAGGUAAGUGGAAUUCCUAGUGUAGCGGUGAAAUGCGUAGAUAUUAGGAGGAACACCAGUGGCGAAGGCGGCUUGCUGGACUGUAAAUGACGCUGAGGCUCGAAAGCGUGGGGAGCAAACAGGAUUAGAUACCCGCGUAGG
rnacentral:rRNA from 1 species